rnacentral:piRNA from 1 species
UACUGAGAGAAGAAACCUCGAGGGAGCAU